rnacentral:rRNA from 1 species
AUUGAACGCUGGCGGCAGGCCUAACACAUGCAAGUCGAGCGGAUGAAGGGAGAUUGCUCCUGGAUUCAGCGGCGGACGGGUGGGUAAUGCCUAGGAAUAUGCCUGGUAGUGGGGGAUAACGUCCGGAAACGGGCGCUAAUACCGCAUACGUCCUGAGGGAGAAAGUGGGGGAUCUUCGGACCUUACGCUAUCAGAUGAGCCUAGGUCGGAUUAGCUAGUUGGUGGGGUAAAGGCCUACCAAGGCGACGAUCCGUAACUGGUCUGAGAGGAUGAUCAGUCACACUGGAACUGAGACACGGUCCAGACUCCUACGGGAGGCAGCAGUGGGGAAUAUUGGACAAUGGGCGAAAGCCUGAUCCAGCCAUGCCGCGUGUGUGAAGAAGGCCUUCGGAUUGUAAAGCACUUUAAGUUGGGAGGAAGGGCAGUAAGUUAAUACCUUGCUGUUUUGACGUUACCAACAGAAUAAGCACCGGCUAACUUCGUG